CAAAAGCCUCCUGCUUACACCAAGAAAAUAUCUGUGAAAUUCAGUCAUUUUUGA
rnacentral:tRNA from 1 species